rnacentral:misc_RNA from 1 species
UUGCAUAGUCAUAGGUAUGAAAACCAACCAAGUCAGCAGCAAGAACUGCUCGGAGCAGCUCUGAUCUAGACGGCAGUGUCCUGUGUAUUUCCGAGGAUGGAAAGGGUGUGUGUAGAAACCAACCGACUUUCAUUUGGCUGUUGUAAUCCUUGAGACAUUUUGGCAGGAACAUGAGAUGGUAGUCAUGACACCAUACCACAUCACCUUCUUCGUAAUGUUCAUUCACAACAUCAGCAAACAUUUGAUUUGCUUUCUUAUAAGCAGCAAACUGAGACUGGAAACUUCUGGUAGUCGCAAGGCGGUCUUCUUGCGGAAGUCCAAGAUAA